rnacentral:lncRNA from 1 species
ACGCUGUUUGCCCUUGUUAAGACACAUAAUUACCUCAUUUACAUCUCGUUUCCUCCCCAAAAUCGGAAGCCAUUAUGCGCCCCCGCACUCCGUUUCUCCCCUUCCAACGAUUAGUCAUCAUCCAAUCAGCUUCUGGGCUGCGAAGGGAAAGGCUCCCACGAGUCGAGCCAGGCCGGCCGGACAGCGGCAGAGCCUGAGAUGCUCAGACAGGAAGUGUCCUGGAGUCUCACUGGAAACCCCGAAAAACGGCAGCAACAGAUUGAAAGGGUCCAGGCAGACGGGCCUCUUUAUGAGGCACCCGGAGUCCGGCUCAUCCGUCAUGUCGCCGACGGGGAUCAUGGGAGGACAGUUGAGGAAGCCGUGUGGGAGAAAACGUUCUGCAUCCCCACCACCGUGGACGCCUCGCUCCUGUCCCCCCGCCCUGUCAGGAUGGGGCUGGUUUUCGGCGGUGGGAAGAGCGCCGUGGGACACGAAACCGCCGCUUUCCUUCUCAGUGUGUCGGGGAGGAAGGAGUGCGGUUCUCCGAGCUCUGCUCUCCAGAGAAUCCCAUCAUGAAAGCAACAAAGAGCUCAGAGACUUCGGCUGAAACCCGGGGACCUUCCAUCUGAACCGGGAGCAUCUCUGAGCCAAGAGCGCCACCCUGCACUCCUCAGCGGUACUGCGCCGCCGCUGGAACCUGCUCCAGCCAAACAUAAACUCGACCUUUUUUUUCUCCAAAUACUAAAAUGAUUGAAGGAUGAAAUUGGGGAAACAUCACAUCUGUUGGGUUUUUACCCUCACACACACACACACACACAAACAAACCUAAGAAAGCCUCUUUAACCAAAGCCGAGCACAAACGCACUUAAAAUCAAGCUAAUUACAAUUUUGUCUGUUCCCUUUUGUGUCUUCGCAUAAAGGGAGCAGGGGAAAAUAAGGUGGCGGGGGCUGUCUGUGAUUUUUCCAACUGGUACGGUGAAAUAACACACAGCCCUCCGCUGUUCCUCAUUUAAAUGAGGCUGAUUUCUUAACAAAAAUUCGCUGCUAGUGUAACAAGAGUGAAAGAGGAGCCUGUGAAAACUCGCAGCCCGCAGCAAGUAUUUAAACUAUCAUUUAAAAAGGGCUGAUCUGUAAUUCAGAGCGGAUACGGUAUCAGUCGGCGUGCUUGUCAUUCCCGGCUAUAAUCUCCACCACGCUCAGAAACACUGUCUGCUGGCAGCUCUGAGAGGAGAAGGAGGAGGAGGAAGAGGAAGAGGAGAAGAGGGGAGGCAGGGGGAGAGGGAUUGGACUUCUUCUCCUCCAGCUGACGCUCGCUAUCAGAGACUAAAUCUUUUUUCCGGAGCAAAGAAAAACUCUGAGAUUGAGUUAAAUAAGAGCAAAAACCUUCUGAACGAGGAUGACUGUUCGGGAAAAACUCAGAGGUCAUAGGUCAAAUCAUGAAAUCCUCCAUCUGCAUUUGUUAGCGACAAUCUGCAAGCAGCAACUGCCAGGAAAUUAAAAAAUAUCUGAUAAAAUUCUGGGUUUUCACUGUUUUUCUUGUGUUC